AUAACAAAAUAAGAUAUACAAAGAACUACCUACAAGAUUUGAGCUUUGAGAAACUGCUGAAGACAGGCUACGACAAAUAAAAAGCAAAUCACAAUGUCUGAUUUCACAUCUAAAAGCUUUGAUGUAAUUUCUUCAAUGUUAAUAGCAUUCGAAAAAAUCAAUAAAGUCAAUGUUCUCUAAGUUUGUUUUUGAAAAAUCAAUGUUGUUCUUAUCCUCGUCCUUAUAAAACUGCACGUUUUUCAAAAGCAAUAUGUCGCUCUCAUGUUAUUUUUUCUACAUUCAUCGCUAAUCUCAUCAAUUUAUACCAUUCCAACUGGACGUUUAUUUUCUUGCCUUCUCGCACAAAUAAGUCUCUGAUCAUCUAAUUAAUAGCCUUAUCUCAGUUGUCAUGCAUCUAAUGAUGUUAAUUUCAAGAAUUUAGGAUAAUAACCAAAAAUCCGCCUCAGAAACGACAGUGUGCAUUGCAAGCGCCCACUUGAAUAUACUCCAUUCAAUGUGCUUGUUCGUAAUAGCAGCAGAUGCGGCAGUCAGGAGUCAAAUGGAUGAUAUAAAUGAAACAAACUAGGGGUAAUGAUUGUGUAUUUAACAACAAUGUUGUAUCUGUACCAAAAAACACAAAAUUUUAGUUAGAUCAAAUCUACUCAAUAAUUUUUUAAGUACCCAUUAUUUCCAAAAGACACAAACAAAAACAAAAUUAAAAAUAAAAUCAUGAAAAAUCCUACCUACAAGAAAUCCUACCCCAUACGCUACAAGCCUUUGAGCUUCAAGAAACGACUCCUUACUCUUUUUGUUACUCCAAUCAACCAAGAAUUUCAACUUUUGUUUGCUAAAUCUCCUUGUUAAUAAUGUAGUUUC
rnacentral:lncRNA from 1 species